GGGGUUUUUAUCUAUUCCAGUUCUCGAAAAUUUACCAAAUAUAGGUUGGCUGUAAAAUCAUAACUAUCUGAGGUAUCUGUCAAUAAAUCAAAGAUUGCAAUGAUGAUAGCUUCUUUAACAUGAAUGUAAUUCUAACAGUAAAAAAUUUCUAUAUGGAAUAUGUUUUGUAGUCCUAAAUUGAUAUUUUAUAUCAUUUUUCAGUGAACAAGUAGUUGUUUACAGGUGUCUGUGCAUAUGUCUCAAGUUUUUCUAACUAAAAUAUUAAUAGUUAAGUCUAAAAAUAUGAAUUAUACGUGGGGCUUGUCAUUCUGACAUUUAAUACUUCAGCGUGGUGAUAAUGGUGAUAUAAUAUACUGUUUGAAAUUGUAACACAUGAGUUAAAAUCAAAAGAUUGAUAAGUACAUAUUUGUAUAUUGCUACAUGACAAAAAUCUAGGAAGAAUAUGAUUCACAUGAAAAUUCUUUGGAAGGACAUGACAGACUUUUAACAGUCCUGUAUAGUGAAAGGAGAAUAGAACGACUACUUCUACUUUCUGUAUCUGAAAUUUUCAAAAGCUAUUUCAAAAUGAACAUUUAAACAACAGGAAAUUUUAGAGACAACCACUUUGUGCCUGUCUUCAUCCUUGACAUUCAACAUCCUAGGAACAAUGGGCUGUUGUAUUCAACUUCUUAUUCCCAACAGCCAUUAUGAAUGGUUUUUGAUUGAUCUCACAAAGAGCAUGUGCUUUAGACAUUAAUGCAGCGACUACCAUGAAACAGAGUAUUGGAUUACCUAAGGAAAGAAGCAGAGGAUGGAAUUUGAGGCAAUCAGGAUGAGUGAAAAAUUGAUUUGCAGCUGACCUGCAAAUGGAAUCAUCAGGAACAUCCCUUUCUCAUGGAGUCCCUUAAUUUACAAGUUAACUGCAAACAUAGGUAAGAAGGUUCUGGUGCUAUUUGGGGGUGAGGUAUUGGUGAGGUUUUGCCUAAGCUCAGGAAAAUAAUACUGGUACAGGUGUAUUUCUUGGCCACCUUGGAAUUAUCAAAUGAGUUAGUCUUUAAAAUAUAUUUUAUCGAAGUGAAGGUAUAGUUUGGUUCCCAGACCAAACUGAGGGUCGGGCUGCUAUUUCUCGUGCCCCAAUAAUGAGAUGCAGAUGAACAGGGGAGGAAGAGUUAGAGCUAGUUACAGGAAGAAGGCCUGGAAAUUGUCACCACACCAACUCAAAAUUACAAAGUUUUUCAGAACUUAUAUACCUUCUAAGCUAUAUGUGUACAUGUAAGUGUGUAUCUAAAGACAUAAGUGAUCUAUAACUAAGGUCUGAGUCUUCGAGACCUUCCUUUGGAGCCUCAGUAAAUUUACAUUAAUUUAAAUGGGUCUGGGUGCUGAGGUGAUUACCAUUAUCUUGUUUCCUACUAAAUCAUGGAGGUUUGGGGAGUUCCUUUAGAACCCCCAAUAAACUUGUUUGUGGAGGCCUGGAGAGUUUCUUCAGACCCCUAAUAAAACUUGUUUAAUCGUGCUUUAAGGUUCAAGAGAGGCCUAGGUAAAACUUGGUGGGCUUUUGUGACAUUCCAACCUUUGUAUAACAAAAUGGCUCUUUCAGCUUUUAGUAUUUAACUUAACCACUCCGUCAAUACUGAAACAGUUGUUAUGGAGGCCUCCAUUAGAGGGACCUGGCCUGCCACAGGUGCGCGCGCACACACAGAUGAGAGUACCUUUAAUUAGUUUACUUAUCUAUGGUCAAACACGACAAUAUAACUAAUAAAAGAAAUGACCAGGCAUCUAAUUACUAGAAAUUAUAAAAUUGACAAUAUGUGUGUUUUCAUAAAUGUACAGUUUUCACAAAAUGUUUUCACAUACAGUUCUUUGAUAAAGGGUGAAGUUCAUGGAAACCACAGAAAGAUGCUGAUACUGUAAACUAUUAAAGUCAUUACUGAGGUUGUAAGUUGACUUUGCUAUAGGAUUGAUAAUGGGAAGUGUUUCUAAAUGUUAACAUAACCUGUAAUAAAGUUCAACAUGAGCAUUCACUUAACCUGCCGCC
rnacentral:lncRNA from 10 species